CCUCGCCAAUGGAAACUAGCUUGCUAUUGGCUGGCGAGGGCAGUGACAUCAUCAAGCUGAUCUAGCCUCUCGGGCGUCGUUCUGCUGCUGCGUAGUGAGGCAGUGACCGGCGGACAGGAUCACACAGGCCGACCGAGCAGCAUCAUGUCCGCCUACAGGCAACAGACCGCGGCCCGGGGCCGGGACUUCAACAGCAUCAUCCAGACCUGCAGCGGCAACGUCCAGAGGAUCACACAUAACAGUGAGUGCCAGCUCCGGACACGGUGCCCUUCAUCACACACAGC